CCUAGCUGUACAAUCAAGUUACAUGUAAUAGAGCAUUAUUAUAACUUUGUAGCUCCAUAGGCUAUUCUUUGUCUGUUCCACGUUUUGAUGCCUUGGCCAUUUCUUGUAGUACAUAACUACAUAUAACACAUUCUCACAAAGCUAUAGAGAAAAGUCAUUGUAGUUCUGCCAGUUACAGUAGGUCUGGUCUGGUAAGAGCCACCACUACACCACUAUUCUUGCUAUAUGAACAUUCAAAAGAACUUGUAUUAAUCUCUUGUCCACAUGACAUACAUCACCCUAAAUGAGAAAUGUCCAU